rnacentral:tRNA from 1 species
AACAUAUUAGGAUAAAUUAAUUUAAAAGUCUGUGAGAUUCAUAUUUUCAAGGUUUAUUGUGUUU